UAUAUAUUUAUACUAGGGAUCGACCGAUUAUGGGUUUUACCGAUAUUAUCGGCCGAUAUUCGGUAUUUUCGGAAAUAUUGGUAUCGGCCAAUAGAGAUACCGAUAUUCCCGAUAAUACAUACCAGGACCGCCGGGCCCAUUACAAGCUCGGUGGUCCUGGAGGGCCCGCAGGAAGCUGUUAUUUACCCCCCAGCAGCUCCCUUCUGUUUCCAAUGUAAAUCUAGCGAGUCCCGCGGCCGUUACCAUGGCAACGCUCCGCGCGGCACACAGGCCACAAGAUUUACACUGGGAGCUAAGUAAGAGCUUGCUGUGGGCCCCCCCCACUGCUCAGUACAUGCCACUGGACCACUAGGGAAUGCCAUAGCCCCCCUCCCUGGCCAGGUAGCAAGCAGGGAGGAGGUACAAAAAAUAAAAUAAAAACAUAAAUAUUAAAAAUAAA